GAUGAACGCUGGCGGCGUGCCUAAUACAUGCAAGUCGAGCGAACGGACGAGAAGCUUGCUUUUCUGAUGUUAGCGGCGGACGGGUGAGUAACACGUGGAUAACCUACCUAUAAGACUGGGAUAACUUCGGGAAACCGGAGCUAAUACCGGAUAAUAUUUUGCACCGCAUGGUUCAAAAGUGAGAGACGGUCUUGCUGUCACUUAUAGAUGGAUCCGCGCUGCAUUAGCUAGUUGGUAAGGUAACGGCUUACCAAGGCAACGAUGCAUAGCCGACCUGAGAGAGUGAUCGGCCACACUGGAACUGAGACACGGUCCAGACUCCUACGGGAGGCAGCAGUAGGGAAUCUUCCGCAAUGGGCGAAAGCCUGACGGAGCAACGCCGCGUGAGUGAUGAAGGUCUUCGGAUCGUAAAACUCUGUUAUUAGGGAAGAACAUAUGUGUAAGUAACUGUGCACAUCUUGACGGUACCUAAUCAGAAAGCCACGGCUAACUACGUG
rnacentral:rRNA from 1 species